UACGGAGGGUGCGAGCGUUGUCCGGAUUUAUUGGGUUUAAAGGGAGCGUAGGUGGGUCGGUAAGUCAGUGGUGAAAAUCUUCGAGCUUAACUCGGAAACUGCCAUUGAUACUAUCGAUCUUGAAUUAUCUGGAGGUAAGCGGAAUAUGUCAUGUAGCGGUGAAAUGCUUAGAUAUGACAUAGAACACCCAUUGCGAAGGCAGCUUACUACGGAUAUAUUGACACUGAGGCUCGAAAAGCGUGGGGAUCAAACAGG
rnacentral:rRNA from 1 species